GUCGAACGAUGAUGCCAGCUUGCUGGUGGAUUAGUGGCGAACGGGUGAGUAACACGUGAGCAACCUGCCCCUGACUUCGGGAUAACCGCGGGAAACCGUGGCUAAUACCGGAUAUGACGCACCAUCGCAUGGUGGUGUGUGGAAAGACUGUGUCGGUUGGGGAUGGGCUCGCGGCCUAUCAGCUUGUUGGUGGGGUGAUGGCCUACCAAGGCGACGACGGGUAGCCGGCCUGAGAGGGUGACCGGCCACACUGGGACUGAGACACGGCCCAGACUCCUACGGGAGGCAGCAGUGGGGAAUAUUGCACAAUGGGCGCAAGCCUGAUGCAGCGACGCCGCGUGAGGGAUGACGGCCUUCGGGUUGUAAACCUCUUUCAGUAGGGAAGAAGGCCUUCGGGUUGACGGUACCUGCAGAAGAAGCGCCGGCUAACUACGUGCCAGCAGCCGCGGUAAUACGUAGGGCGCAAGCGUUGUCCGGAAUUAUUGGGCGUAAAGAGCUCGUAGGCGGUUUGUCGCGUCUGCUGUGAAAACGCGAGGCUUAACCUCGCGCCUGCAGUGGGUACGGGCAGACUAGAGUGCGGUAGGGGAGACUGGAAUUCCUGGUGUAGCGGUGGAAUGCGCAGAUAUCAGGAGGAACACCGGUGGCGAAGGCGGGUCUCU
rnacentral:rRNA from 1 species